UACAGAGGGUGCAAGCGUUAAUCGGAAUUACUGGGCGUAAAGCGUGCGUAGACGGUUAUGUAAGUCAGAUGUGAAAGCCCCGGGCUUAACCUGGGAAUUGCAUUUGAGACUGCAUAGCUAGGAUGCGGAAGAGGGAAGUGGAAUUUCCGGUGUAGCGGUGAAAUGCGUAGAUAUCGGAAGGAACAUCAGUGGCGAAAGCGACUUCCUGGUCCAGCAUCGACGUUCAGGCACGAAAGCGUGGGGAGCAAACAGG
rnacentral:rRNA from 1 species